UACGGGGGGGGCAAGCGUUGUUCGGAAUUACUGGGCGUAAAGGGCUCGUAGGUGGCCAACUAAGUCAGACGUGAAAUCCCUCGGCUUAACCGGGGAACUGCGUCUGAUACUGGAUGGCUUGAGUUUGGGAGAGGGAUGCGGAAUUCCAGGUGUAGCGGUGAAAUGCGUAGAUAUCUGGAGGAACACCGGUGGCGAAGGCGACAUCCUGGACCAACACUGACGCUGAGGAGCGAAAGCCAGGGGAGCAAACGGG
rnacentral:rRNA from 1 species